AUUGUUAUGUCUGUAUUGAUCUAAAAGCCUAAUAAUGUGGUGGCUCCACCAGACCCGGGAACAUUGGCUGUGUAACAGAAAUAUACCACACUAGGGUUGAAAACGUGUGUGUGUGGAACCGGUU